UACGAAGGGGACUAGCGUUGUUCGGAAUCACUGGGCGUAAAGCGCACGUAGGCGGAUUUUGUAAGUCAGGGGGUGAAAAUCCCGGGGGCUCAACCUCGGAACUGCCUUUGAUACUGCGAGUCUUGAGUCCGAUAGAGGUGGGUGGAAUUCCUAGUGUAGAGGUGAAAUUCGUAGAUAUUAGGAAGAACACCAGUGGCGAAGGCGGCCCACUGGAUCGGUACUGACGCUGAGGUGCGAAAGCGUGGGGAGCAAACAGG
rnacentral:rRNA from 1 species